GUGGGUAGCAAACAGGAUUAGAUACCCUGGUAGUCCACGCCGUAAACGAUGUCUACUAGUCGUUGGGUCCCUUGAGGACUUAGUGACGCAGCUAACGCAAUAAGUAGACCGCCUGGGGAGUACGGCCGCAAGGUUAAAACUCAAAUGAAUUGACGGGGGCCCGCACAAGCGGUGGAGCAUGUGGUUUAAUUCGAUGCAACGCGAAGAACCUUACCUGGUCUUGACAUAUCUAGAAUCCUGCAGAGAUGCGGGAGUGCCUUCGGGAAUUAGAAUACAGGUGCUGCAUGGCUGUCGUCAGCUCGUGUCGUGAGAUGUUGGGUUAAGUCCCGCAACGAGCGCAACCCUUGUCCUUAGUUACCAGCGGGUUAAGCCGGGAACUCUAAGGAUACUGCCAGUGACAAACUGGAGGAAGGCGGGGACGACGUCAAGUCAUCAUGGCCCUUACGACCAGGGCUACACACGUGCUACAAUGGUAGGUACAGAGGGCAGCUACACAGCGAUGUGAUGCGAAUCUCAAAAAGCCUAUCGUAGUCCAGAUUGGAGUCUGCAACUCGACUCCAUGAAGUAGGAAUCGCUAGUAAUCGCGGAUCAGAAUGCCGCGGUGAAUACGUUCCCGGGCCUUGUACACACCGCCCGUCACACCAUGGGAGUUGAUUGCACCAGAAGUGGAUAGCUUAACCGUAAGGGGAGCG
rnacentral:rRNA from 1 species